UACGUAGGGAGCGAGCGUUGUCCGGAUUCAUUGGGCGUAAAGAGCUCGUAGGCGGCUUGAUAAGUCGGAUGUGAAACCUCCAGGCUCAACCUGGAGUCGCCAUCCGAUACUGUCAUGGCUAGAGUCCGGUAGGGGCCCACGGAAUUCCUGGUGUAGCGGUGAAAUGCGCAGAUAUCAGGAGGAACACCGGUGGCGAAGGCGGUGGGCUGGGCCGGCACUGACGCUGGAGGAGCGAAAGCCGUGGGGAGCAAACAGG
rnacentral:rRNA from 1 species